rnacentral:lncRNA from 1 species
AAUGAAUUUGGAGUCACCAAACACAGAACCUAGCUCAGAGGGAGUAAUGUGAUAGCAAUGAAGAAGACAGAAUGAAAGUUAUUAAAGGGAAGACUUAAAAAGUCUUGAGACAGGAAGUCUGGAAGAAUGGCAGCCCUACUGAAAGAAAUAGAUCUCGAUGAAGAAGUUCAGGACCAAUGUGAUAAAACAAUGACACGCCCUGGAAGUAGCUCUGCAAAUAUUUCUACAAAUUCCCAAGAAUGGUUCCGAGUAGGAUUGAGCCAUUCUGAAGUUGACCAAGAUAACGCCAAUGCUGUUUCCUGUUAGUCAUUUUAUGAGUAGAACAUCCGAACUCCUACAUUCCAGUAUUCUAAGCUGAAGACAAAUAAAUCUUGUUCCUCUCUGGUUUUAAGGGGUGAU